ACUAAGUAGGUACUAAGUAGGUACUAAGUAAGUAAUAAGUCUGUAUAUUGUAUUUUAUGAUGCUGGCAUUUAAGUAAUAAGUUCGUAUUCUGAAAUCUAUAAAGUCAAUAACCAAGUAAUAAUUCGGUAUUGUGCAUUUUGUAAAAUCAAUAAUUAACUAAUAAUACGUAUUCGGUAUUUCAUAAGAUCAAUAACAAACUUGUAAUUUGAUCAAGAACCUAAUAAAAUUUAUAAGACUUUAUCCAAAAAUCAGUGAUUAUUCAAUUAGUAAAGCGGCCUUUUCUCAAAAUACUUUUUUCAAAGCCAAUGGAUAUAUCUAAAAAAGCGCUAAAUGAAUCGUUUUCAAAUUUACACAAAAUCCUACUUUUUUUUAAAUCGAUCUCAAUUUUUUAAUAAUUAUGUAGAAAUGAUGAUUUUUCUUAUAAAUUUUCCAUGUUCGAGUUUCAAUUCGUCAUCAUUUUGUAAAAAAUAAUCGAUUUUAAAAGUCUAACGUGACCAACGACUCGUUUUCGGUGUUACCUUGAACUGUUUCAUUUGUUGAUUCCAAAUUCAUCGUUUAGCUGAAGAAUGUCCAUCUCCAAAUAUCUUCAAACAAAAAUUCAUUGUUUGGUGGCAGACAUAUUUUUAUUAUUUUUUUAUAUUUUUGGAUAAUCUUUUAGAAAGCUCUCAAUAAAUAAAAAAAAAUACGUCUCAUUUCUACCAAUCGUUUCUGAGAAAAAAAUUUCGAAUUUCGAAAAUUUCUCAAGCUUCUAAAUGAAUCGUGAUUCCUUCAAGACGUGUCCAUUUAAGAGUAAAAUUGUCAGGAAUUGGUGUUCACUGGAAAACAGGGUUAAUCAUUCCUAUACAUAAAUCGAGGAAAAAGUCGACAACCAGGAAAAUAUAAACCAGUAAGUCUAAUCAUGAAUAAAAUAAUGGAAAAAAUUAUUUUAUUUUAGAAAGACUCAAUAGGCAUGAAACAUUGCAGAUCAUCGAUUUGAUUUCAGAGAGAAACACAACACAGUCCAACAAACGAGAAAAGUUAACACAUAUUAGCACAACAGAUAUUAGUGUAAAUUUUAACAAAGGAAAUAAAACUGUACUAAUAUUAUUUGAUAUCAAAAAA